GACGAACGCUGGCGGCGUGCUUAACACAUGCAAGUCGAACGGAAAGGCCCUGCUUUUGUGGGGUGCUCGAGUGGCGAACGGGUGAGUAACACGUGAGUAACCUGCCCUUGACUUUGGGAUAACUUCAGGAAACUGGGGCUAAUACCGGAUAGGAGCUCCUGCCGCAUGGUGGGGGUUGGAAAGUUUCGGCGGUUGGGGAUGGACUCGCGGCUUAUCAGCUUGUUGGUGGGGUAGUGGCUUACCAAGGCUUUGACGGGUAGCCGGCCUGGGAGGGUGACCGGCCACAUUGGGACUGAGAUACGGCCCAGACUCCUACGGGAGGCAGAAGUGGGGAAUAUUGCACAAUGGGCGGAAGCCUGAUGCAGCAACGCCGCGUGCGGGAUGACGGCCUUCGGGUUGUAAACCGCUUUCGCCUGUGACGAAGCGUGAGUGACGGUAAUGGGUAAAGAAGCACCGGCUAACUACGUG
rnacentral:rRNA from 1 species